UACGUAGGGCGCAAGCGUUUGUCCGGAAUUAUUGGGCGUAAAGAGCUCGUAGGCGGUUUGUCGCGUCUGCUGUGAAAACCUGAGGCUCAACCUCGGGCUUGCAGUGGGUACGGGCAGACUAGAGUGCGGUAGGGGUGACUGGAAUUCCUGGUGUAGCGGUGGAAUGCGCAGAUAUCAGGAGGAACACCGAUGGCGAAGGCAGGUCACUGGGCCGCAACUGACGCUGAGGAAGCGAAAGCAUGGGGAGCGAACAGG
rnacentral:rRNA from 1 species